GGGCAGUUUCCCGAGCGGUCAAAGGGGGCAGACUGUAAAUCUGUUGGCUCAGCCUUCGUAGGUUCGAAUCCUUCACUGCCCA
rnacentral:tRNA from 1 species